rnacentral:lncRNA from 1 species
UUCACCCAAGUAGUGUAAGGUUCCAAAGCUACACAGUUGCACGGACCAAGCUCAGAUCUUCCUUCCCUAUGCACAUUAUGCCAAGCAUGUAUCAUCUUCUGCUUCAAAUGUUGCGAAUAUUUACCCUCUUGAUAGAAAAGACCUUCUAACUAAGUGUUAUUAUGUUUGUCUCUCAAGCGGAACCCAAGUUGAUGACUAGCCAAAGC